ACUCCUACGGGAGGCAGCAGUAGGGAAUCUUCCACAAUGGGUGCAAACCUGAUGGAGCAAUGCCGCGUGAGUGAAGAAGGUCUUCGGAUCGUAAAGCUCUGUUGUUAGAGAAGAACACGUGCUAGGUAACUACUAGCGCCUUGACGGUAUCUAACCAGAAAGUCACGGCUAACUACGUGCCAGCAGCCGCGGUAAUACGUAGGUGACAAGCGUUGUCCGGAUUUAUUGGGCGUAAAGGGAGCGCAGGCGGUCUGUUUAGUCUAAUGUGAAAGCCCACGGCUUAACCGUGGAACGGCAUUGGAAACUGACAGACUUGAAUGUAGAAGAGGAAAAUGGAAUUCCAAGUGUAGCGGUGGAAUGCGUAGAUAUUUGGAGGAACACCAGUGGCGAAGGCGAUUUUCUGGUCUAACAUUGACGCUGAGGCUCGAAAGCGUGGGGAGCGAACAGGAUUAGAUACCCCGGUAGUCCCAUG
rnacentral:rRNA from 1 species